rnacentral:rRNA from 1 species
CGGGGUACUCGAGUGGCGAACGGGUGAGUAACACGUGGGUGAUCUGCCCUGCACUUUGGGAUAAGCCUGGGAAACUGGGUCUAAUACCGAAUAUGACCGCGCUCUUCAUGGGGUGUGGUGGAAAGCUUUUGCGGUGUGGGAUGGGCCCGCGGCCUAUCAGCUUGUUGGUGGGGUAAUGGCCUACCAAGGCGACGACGGGUAGCCGGCCUGAGAGGGUGACCGGCCACACUGGGACUGAGAUACGGCCCAGACUCCUACGGGAGGCAGCAGUGGGGAAUAUUGCACAAUGGGCGCAAGCCUGAUGCAGCGACGCCGCGUGAGGGAUGACGGCCUUCGGGUUGUAAACCUCUUUCAAUAGGGACGAAGCGCAAGUGACGGUACCUAUAGAAGAAGGACCGGCCAACUACGUGCCAGCAGCCGCGGUAAUACGUAGGGUCCGAGCGUUGUCCGGAAUUACUGGGCGUAAAGAGCUCGUAGGUGGUUUGUCGCGUUGUUCGUGAAAACUCACAGCUUAACUGUGGGCGUGCGGGCGAUACGGGCAGACUAGAGUACUGCAGGGGAGACUGGAAUUCCUGGUGUAGCGGUGGAAUGCGCAGAUAUCAGGAGGAACACCGGUGGCGAAGGCGGGUCUCUGGGCAGUAACUGACGCUGAGGAGCGAAAGCGUGGGGAGCGAACAGGAUUAGAUACCCUGGUAGUCCACGCCGUAAACGGUGGGUACUAGGU